rnacentral:rRNA from 1 species
GUGGGGGAUAACCAUUGGAAACGAUGGCUAAUACCGCAUGAUGCCUACGGGCCAAAGAGGGGGACCUUCGGGCCUCUCGCGUCAGGAUAUGCCUAGGUGGGAUUAGCUAGUUGGUGAGGUAAGUGGCUCACCAAGGCGACGAUCCCUAGCUGGUCUGAGAGGAUGAUCAGCCACACUGGAACUGAGACACGGUCCAGACUCCUACGGGAGGCAGCAGUGGGGAAUAUUGCACAAUGGGCGCAAGCCUGAUGCAGCCAUGCCGCGUGUGUGAAGAAGGCCUUCGGGUUGUAAAGCACUUUCAGUCGUGAGGAAGGUGGUGUAGUUAAUAGCUGCAUUACUUUGACGUUAGCGACAGAAGAAGCACCGGCUAACUCCGUGCCAGCAGCCGCGGUAAUACGGAGGGUGCGAGCGUUAAUCGGAAUUACUGGGCGUAAAGCGCAUGCAGGUGGUUUGUUAAGUCAGAUGUGAAAGCCCGGGGCUCAACCUCGGAAUAGCAUUUGAAACUGGCAGACUAGAGUACUGUAGAGGGGGGUAGAAUUUCAGGUGUAGCGGUGAAA